rnacentral:rRNA from 1 species
UACGUAGGGUGCGAGCGUUGUCCGGAAUUACUGGGCGUAAAGAGCUCGUAGGUGGUUUUGUCGCGUUGUCCGUGAAAAACUCACAACUCAAUUGUGGGCGUGCGGGCGAUACGGGCAGACUGGAGUACUGCAGGGGAGACUGGAAUUCCUGGUGUAGCGGUGGAAUGCGCAGAUAUCAGGAGGAACACCGGUGGCGAAGGCGGGUCUCUGGGCCGAUACUGACGCUGAGGAGCGAAAGCGUGGGGAGCGAACAGG